rnacentral:tRNA from 4 species
GGAGGCGUAGCUCAGUUGGAAGAGCAACUGACUCUUAAUCAGUGGGUCGUGGGUUCGAGCCCCUCCGCCUCUACCA